CCUACGGGCGGCAGCAGUGGGGAAUAUUGGACAAUGGGGGGAACCCUGAUCCAGCGACGCCGCGUGAGUGAUGAAGUAUUUCGGUAUGUAAAGCUCUAUCAGCAGGGAAGAAAAUGACGGUACCUGACUAAGAAGCGCCGGCUAACCACGUGCCAGCAGCCGCGGGAAUACGGAGGGGGCAAGCGUUAUUCGGAUUUACUGGGGGGAAAGGGAGCGUAGGCGGGGCAGCAAGUCUGAUGUGAAAGGUCGGGGCCCAACCCCGGGACUGCAUUGGAAACUGUUGCACUGGCGUAGAGGAGAGGUAAGCGGAAUUCCUGGUGUAGCGGUGAAAUGCGUAGAUAUUAGGCGGAACACCGGUGGCGAAGGCAGCUUACUGGACUGUAACUGACGUUGAGGCUCGAAAGCGUGGGGAGCGAACAGGAUUAGAUACCCUAGUAGUC
rnacentral:rRNA from 1 species